GACGUUCAUUAACCACGUUGCCAGGCUGGAGAAGACACAGAGCCAACCGAAGAGUCGUUAAAGAAAGAGAGGCGGUAAUAAUAUACAAAGCACAGCGGAGGAAUCGCAUUUUGAUUGCUUCCUCUCCCACGGUGUCCAGCUUCCCUCACCAGCCUCAGUAGACAGGAGAAUAAAGGAAGGGAGAGCGGGAAGGAGGGGGAGGAAAUUACCUUCUCAAAUCAGCUGUCUCGACUUCUGGAAUGGCCUUCCUUUCCUCCGGCGGGGCCAGUCCCGAGUGGUGUAAGCUGGCAGGGUGGGCCCACAGCAGUCCUGGCACCAGCAGCGGUGGGCAGGCAAGCCGGACUCCUGGCUCUGCCACUGAUGUGUCCGGUGACCUUGGACAAGUCACUUCACCUCUUGGUGCCUCAGUUUCCUCACCCAGGUGUAAUAACGUUGGCCUGUCUGCGAGAUCCCGGGGCGGGGGCAAGAACAUUGUGCUCUGGACCGCCCGACAAACCCAGGGAGAGCCUCCGAAGCAAACGGCGCGUCUCAAAGGAUCAGCCAGGGCCCAGGCGGCCGGCUCUGCGCCUGCUUGCGGUCUGGCCUCCUGCUUUUGGAUUCAGGGGCUGCGAUCUGGCUGGGGGGAGCUUGCUGCAUUUUACAGCAGGCUUUUACUUUUAACGAUCACUUGGGUCAUAGCAGCGGCUGAGGCGGGUUUGCAGGGACCCUCGGAGGCUUUGCUGGACCCGGCGUGGGUCCCACUCCGGCUCUGCAAGGGCCUUGCUGAGAGAAGGGAAGGGCAGCAUGGGCGAUGAGGCUUAGCGUGCACCUGCCAGCACAGCCUCAGGAGCGCCCUGGGCAAGCAGAAAGGAGCGAGGGGCUCGCUCACCCUCAGUGCAGAGGCAACUGUGGUUUGUGCCAUUAGCAGAGGCCACGGUGCCUUGGCUGGUUAACCUGAGCAUCUGGGCCGAGACCCCGCGUCUGCCCGGGCAUCACAGCAGCACUCCCCUGCAGGGCAGGAUGAAGCCUGAUUAGCACUGCUUGGGGAGCGCAGGUGAUGGCCUGCUGGGACGCGCUCCUGGACAGGCUGAGAAGAGGCCUGUCUAGGUGGGGCCGCCAGAGAUUUAAAAGUCAGUUUAAAAGUUGCUUGAAAAGUUUAAAACGACAGCCGCCGGAGUUUUAAAAGUCGAGGCGACCAUUUAUUCUCCAAGCAGAGCUUUACAACGCUAAGUAAAUUCACGGCUCACUUAGGACAGUGUAAGGCAGGCUUCGACUAUUCAGCAGAGCCCUUUAAACACCCCACAGCCGGGUGAUAAAUCCGGCCGCCUCUUCCUUCCCAGAGCGGAGCCCAGGCUCCGUGGUUCUGGUCUGCCCGUGGCCCGCCAUCCCUCCCAGUUCACAGACGGGCUUUCAGUGAAGCUGGAACAUUGAUUUUUCCCUUCCUGAUAUGCAGCAGCGCGGGUCUGACAGCUCAGACCGGUGUCAGGCUUCGGGAGGGCUUUCAGUGCUGCCGUGCCAGGGCCGUUCACAGCUGGCUUUCAGCCCCGACCCGGAGACCGCACCGGCACUGCUGCUGCACCCGCUACCGAGCUGCCCACACAACGCAGCCAGCGCCCCGGCGUCCUGACCCCACUGGGCGAGCGUCUCUGAGAGGAGGGCUGCAAUGGUGACGCCGAACCAAACCGGGCGUUCAAAUCGUGGAGCCUGGUGGAAACCGCAGGACAUCUGGUUGGGGCACAUCUCAGCCCCUGGCACAAGGCAGGAAAGCCUCGGGAAGUGAGAAGAGACUUUGGUACAGCUCCCGGCACAAAAGGCAAUUAGGUGCCAAUGCAGAUAACAACAGCAACAAUAAAAAUAUCAUCGUAUCAUAAUUA
rnacentral:lncRNA from 1 species